rnacentral:rRNA from 1 species
GACGAACGCUGGCGGCGUGCCUAAUACAUGCAAGUAGAACGCUGAAGAGAGGAGCUUGCUCUUCUUGGAUGAGUUGCGAACGGGUGAGUAACGCGUAGGUAACCUGCCUUGUAGCGGGGGAUAACUAUUGGAAACGAUAGCUAAUACCGCAUAACAAUGGAUGACACAUGUCAUUUAUUUGAAAGGGGCAAUUGCUCCACUACAAGAUGGACCUGCGUUGUAUUAGCUAGUAGGUGAGGUAACGGCUCACCUAGGCGACGAUACAUAGCCGACCUGAGAGGGUGAUCGGCCACACUGGGACUGAGACACGGCCCAGACUCCUACGGGAGGCAGCAGUAGGGAAUCUUCGGCAAUGGGGGCAACCCUGACCGAGCAACGCCGCGUGAGUGAAGAAGGUUUUCGGAUCGUAAAGCUCUGUUGUAAGUCAAGAACGAGUGUGAGAGUGGAAAGUUCACACUGUGACGGUAGCUUACCAGAAAGGGACGGCUAACUACGUGCCAGCAGCCGCGGUAAUACGUAGGUCCCGAGCGUUGUCCGGAUUUAUUGGGCGUAAAGCGAGCGCAGGCGGUUUGAUAAGUCUGAAGUUAAAGGCUGUGGCUCAACCAUAGUUCGCUUUGGAAACUGUCAAACUUGAGUGCAGAAGGGGAGAGUGGAAUUCCAUGUGUAGCGGUGAAAUGCGUAGAUAUAUGGAGGAACACCGGUGGCGAAAGCGGCUCUCUGGUCUGUAACUGACGCUGAGGCUCGAAGGCGUGGGGAGCGAACAGG